AUUUAAGGUCUAGCCUGCCCACUGAAUUAUUUUAAAUGGCCGCAGUAAAUUGACUGUGCAAAGGUAGCAUAAUCAUUAGUUUUUUAAUUAAAAGCUUGUAUGAAUGGUUUGACGAAAUAAAAUCUGUCUCUAAAUAAUAAAAAGAAUUUAAUUUUUAAGUUAAAAAGCUUAAAUUUAAUUAAAAGACGAGAAGACCCUAUAGAUCUUUAUAUUAAAAUUAAUAAUUUUAUUUAAGAUUUUUUACAAAAUUAUUAUUUUUAUUAUUAUAUUGGGGUAAUAGGAAGAUUAAAAAAAUUCUUUUUAAUUUUAAUCAAUAAUAAUUGUUUAAUUGAUCCUUAAUUUAAGAUAAUAAGAUUAAGUUACCUUAGGGAUAACAGCGUAAUUUUUUUAGAGAGUUCUUAUCGAUAAAAAAGUUUGCGACCUCGAUGUUGGAUUAAAAAUUAUUCCAGGUGUAGAAGUUUGGAAAUUUUGGUCUGUUCGACCAUUAAAUUUUUACAUGAUCUGAGUUCAGACCGGCGUAAGCCAGGUCGGUUUCUAUCUUUAUUUAAUUAUUAUAUUUUAGUACGAAAGGACCAGAUAUAUAAUAUAAAAAUAUUUAAAUUUUGAAUAG
rnacentral:rRNA from 1 species